rnacentral:rRNA from 1 species
CUGAACUUAAGCAUAUCAAUAAGCGGAGGAG